rnacentral:rRNA from 1 species
ACGCAUUUGACUCCCUCUCCGAGGACGCCGCAGCCCGCGGGGAAGUGCAAACGUGACGGCCUUGAAGGCGGGAGAUGGCAGGUGGCCGCUGGCGAGCCUCGUGCUCUUCGGCGGUUGUUAGCCGUCCCGUCGGUGGCUCGUCUCCCCGCGGAGGUAUCAUGUCGUCCUGCGGGGCGACUGCGUCUCCUCCUCCACGAGGAACUGGACGUGCAGUGGCGAGCGAAGGCAACCGCGCGGCCGCACACUUUCGGUGUGGGCCAGCGUAAGGUCGGCGCCGUCGGCCGCUGAGGACCAGUCGGAGGUUGGAGGUUGGCGGCGAGUAGGUCGGUCACCCACCCGACCCGUCUUGAAACACGGACCAAGGAGUCUAACAUGUGCGCGAGUCAAUGGGUCUUGAACAAGCCCAGAGGCGCAAUGAAAGUAAAGGUCGGCACCAGUCGGCCGAGUCGGGAUCCCGAGCUUCGUGCCGGGCGCACCGACGACCCGUCUUAUGCCGUUUACGGCUUGGGCGGAGUGUGAGCGUACACGUUGGGACCCGAAAGAUGGUGAACUAUGCCCGGACAGGACGAGGCCAGAGGAAACUCUGGUGGAGGUCCGCAGCGGUUCU